UACGUAGGGUGCAAGCGUUAAUCGGAAUUACUGGGCGUAAAGCGUGCGCAGGCGGUUCGUUGUGUCGGCGGUGAAAGCCCCGGGCUUAACCUGGGAAUGGCCGUUGAAACUGGCGAACUGGAGUGUGGCAGAGGGGGAUGGAAUUCCGCGUGUAGCAGUGAAAUGCGUAGAUAUGCGGAGGAACACCGAUGGCGAAGGCAAUCCCCUGGACCUGUACUGACGCUCAUGCACGAAAGCGUGGGGAGCAAACGAGG
rnacentral:rRNA from 1 species